AGCAGCCGCGGUAAUUCCAGCUCCAAUAGCGUAUAUUAAAGUUGUUGCAGUUAAAAAGCUCGUAGUUGAAUUUCGGGAUCAGUACGCUGGUCGUGCCUCCGGUAUGCACUGGUGUCACUGGUUCCUCCCUUCUGAAGAACCAUCAUGCUAUUAAUUUAGUGUGGUGGGAAAUCAGGACUGUUACUUUGAAAAAAUUAGAGUGUUUAAAGCAGGCUCACGCUUGAAUACAUUAGCAUGGAAUAAUGAAAUAGGACGUUGAUCCUAUUUUGUUGGUUUCUAGGAUUGACGUAAUGAUUAAUAGGGAUAGUUGGGGGCAUUAGUAUUCAAUUGUCAGAGGUGAAAUUCUUGGAUUUAUUGAAGACUAACUACUGCGAAAGCAUUUGCCAAGGAUGUUUUCAUUAAUCAAGAACGAAAGUUAGGGGAUCGAAGACGAUCAGAUACCGUCGUAGU
rnacentral:rRNA from 1 species